AUGUCUAAUAAUCAGAAGUAUGGUGUCCGUUUGCUCCAAAGAACCUUGGAUCUGCAGAGAUUUCCUAUGGGAAGUGCACCAUUGUGUAUACCUGUCAAUACUGGUCCUCCUAUUGUUCAUAGACCUACUCAAGUUGCUUUUGUGGGAACCCCAUCAGGAAUAAGUGACGUGCCAAAUAAGGUAACAUCACCUUUCCCAGGAAAGCAGGUGAGGAAGGCAAAUGCAGUCAUGCCUGAAGAGACUGCAUCAAGUGUCUAUUCUGAUGGUAGGCAUGCUCCAAAGAAUGAACACUUGAGGAUUUCUGGACCUUUGGGGCAGUGUGAUGAAUCUGAUUGCAAUGAUUGCCCUCCUGCCUCUAAGAACAAAAUGCAUUUCCAUAGAAGUUCAGCUCCUUUCGGUAAUGAGGGUGGUGGGUGGAAGAAGAAGAUUGGGUCUUCCCUUCCAAACAUUCCAAUUAUAAACCCACAUGCUAAGGCUGUUCGUCGAUGGAACCAGUUUUUUGUGAUAUCAUGCUUGAUUGCCAUUUUCAUUGAUCCUCUGUUUUUCUUCCUAGCUUCCAUGGACAAGGAUAACAAAUGCAUAAUGUUCAGUCGGCAUUCGACAGCAUUAACUGUGGCAAGAAGUGUGACAGAUGCAGUUUAUCUUCUUCACUUGCUUCUUCAGUUUAGGAUGGCCUAUGUGGAUCCGGAGUCAAGAAUAGUGGGGACAGGAGACUUAGUUGAUGAGCCUAAGAAAAUUUCUAUGCACUAUCUUCGUGGUGCUUUCAUAGUCGACUUAUCUGUUAUGCUUCCACUUACUCAGGUGAUGAUAUGUCUAGUUAUCCCUAAGUCCAUUGGGGUAUCUGGUGCAAACUAUGCGAAGAAUCUGUUACGUGCCACAAUUCCUGUUCAGUAUGCCCUACGCAUCUUCAAAUUUGUGCAAUUACUUGGUGGGCAAUCUGCUAAUGGAUUCAUUUUUGAAUCAGCAUGGGCUAAUUUUGUGAUCAAUCUUUUGGUAUUUGUUUUGGCUGGGCAUGUGGUUGGUUCACUUUGGUACCUCUUUGGGCUACAGAGUGUUAAUCAAUGUCUAUGGAAUUCUUGUUCUGCGCUUAAUAUAACAUCAUGUGCUCAGUUUAUAGACUGUGGGUAUGGCAUUGGUGGGCAGGACAGAGUAAAGAGGCAGCCAUGGUUAAACGACUCGAUGUCGCGAACCUGUUUUGAUACUGCAAAUGGUUUUUUCAAAUAUGGAAUCUAUGAACAAUCUGUGUUGCUAACCACAGAACUUGCUGUUAACCGCUAUGUAUAUUCGUUAUUUUGGGGGUUCCAGCAAAUAAGUACUUUGGCGGGUAAUCUGGUCCCAACCUAUAAUGUAUGGGAAGUUCUAUUCACAAAGGGUAUCAUUGCCUUGGGGCUAUUGCUUUUUGCGUUACUUAUCGGUAACAUGCAGAUUUUUCUGCAAUCACUUGGAAAAAGGAGACUGGAAAUGCAACUGAGGAGGCAUGAUGUUGAACAAUGGAUGAGCCACAGGCAACUCCCAGAAGAUUUGAGAAGGAGGGUUAGACAUGCAGAAAGGUUUAGUUGGGUGGCUAUGCGAGGUGUGAACGAAGAAGAGCUUUUGAGCAGCUUACCAGAAGAUAUUCAGAUAGAUAUACGCCACCACUUUCAUAGAUUUCUUAACAAGAUUCAGUUAUUCGCUUUGAAGGAUUCUGGACUUUACGAGGCUGUCUGUGACAAGUUGAAGCAUAAGUUAUAUGUUAGGGGAAGUGACAUUCUUUCUCAGGAUCAGCUUGUUGAAAAAAUCAUCUUUGUAGUGCGCGGUAGAGUCGAAAGCAUCAAUGUAGAUGGAAGCAAAUCUCCAUUACAUGAAGGAGCUGUGUGUGGGGAAGAGCUGCUUACGUGGUGGUUGGAGCAGCAAGCUUCAGAUGGGGAGAGGAUGAAGGUGCACUGGAAGGCAAUACGUACCAUCAGAUGCGUAACAAAUGUAGAAGCUUUUGUGCUGCAGUCCACUGAUUUGGAAAAAGUGACUCUAGAGUUCUCAACACUAUUGCAAAAUCCUAGUGUUAUUGCAGCAAUCAGGUACGAAUCACUGUCCUGGAGGACCGCUGCGGCAAUCCAUAUCCAGGACACGUGGAGGCACCAUCAAAGGCGAAAGAAGGCAGCUGCACUGUUGCAAGAUGUUGAAGAUCUUUUUGCUUCCCCAUCUCUCCUUACAGAGGUUUUGCUGCUAUGCUGGGAAGUUUCACAAGGAAAAGAGAAUCAAAUGUAUCUGCAAUCCAAGAUCCACAUGUAA
rnacentral:rRNA from 1 species